CGGACGGGUGAGGAAUACAUCGGAAUCUACUCUGUCGUGGGGGAUAACGCAGGGAAACUUACGCUAAUACCGCAUACGACCUACGGGUGAAAGCAGGGGAUCUUCGGACCUUGCGCGAUUGAAUGAGCCUAGGUCGGAUUAGCUAGUUGGUGAGGUAAUGGCUCACCAAGGCGACGAUCCGUAACUGGUCUGAGAGGAUGAUCAGUCACACUGGAACUGAGACACGGUCCAGACUCCUACGGGAGGCAGCAGUG
rnacentral:rRNA from 1 species